GAUGAACGCUGGCGGCGUGCUUAACACAUGCAAGUCGAACGGUGAAGGCGGAGCUUGCUCUGCUGGAUCAGUGGCGAACGGGUGAGUAACACGUGAGCAAUCUGCCCCUGACUGUGGGAUAAGCGCUGGAAACGGCGUCUAAUACUGGAUACGAGCUGCGAAGGCAUCUUCAGCAGCUGGAAAGAAUUUCGGUCAGGGAUGGGCUCGCGGCCUAUCAGCUUGUUGGUGAGGUAAUGGCUCACCAAGGCGUCGACGGGUAGCCGGCCUGAGAGGGUGACCGGCCACACUGGGACUGAGACACGGCCCAGACUCCUACGGGACGCAGCAGUGGGGAAUAUUGCACAAUGGGCGAAAGCCUGAUGCAGCAACGCCGCGUGAGGGAAGACGGGCUGCGGUUUGUAAACCUCUUUUAGCAGGGAAGAAGCGAUAGUGACGGUACCUGCAGAAAAAGCGCCGGCUAACUACGUG
rnacentral:rRNA from 1 species